rnacentral:rRNA from 1 species
GGUUAAGCGACUAAGCGUACACGGUGGAUGCCCUGGCAGUCAGAGGCGAUGAAGGGCGUGCUAAUCUGCGAUAAGCGCCGGUAAGGUGAUAUGAACCGUUAUAACCGGCGAUACCCGAAUGGGGAAACCCAGUGUGAUUCGUCACACUAUCAUUAACUGAAUCCAUAGGUUAAUGAGGCGAACCGGGGGAACUGAAACAUCUAAGUACCCCGAGGAAAAGAAAUCAACCGAGAUUCCCCCAGUAGCGGCGAGCGAACGGGGAGGAGCCCAGAGCCUGAAUCAGCAUGUGUGUUAGUGGAAGCGUCUGGAAAGGCGCGCGAUACAGGGUGACAGCCCCGUACACAAAAGCGCAUGUGCUGUGAGCUCGAUGAGUAGGGCGGGACACGUGGUAUCCUGUCUGAAUAUGGGGGGACCAUCCUCCAAGGCUAAAUACUCCUGACUGACCGAUAGUGAACCAGUACCGUGAGGGAAAGGCGAAAAGAACCCCGGCGAGGGGAGUGAAAAAGAACCUGAAACCGUGUACGUACAAGCAGUGGGAGCACAGGUUUACCUGUGUGACUGCGUACCUUUUGUAUAAUGGGUCAGCGACUUAUAUUCUGUAGCAAGGUUAACCGUAUAGGGGAGCCGGAGGGAAACCGAGUCUUAAUUGGGCGUUAAGUUGCAGGGUAUAGACCCGAAACCCGGUGAUCUAGCCAUGGGCAGGUUGAAGGUUGGGUAACACUAACUGGAGGACCGAACCGACUAAUGUUGAAAAAUUAGCGGAUGACCUGUGGCUGGGGGUGAAAGGCCAAUCAAACCGGGAGAUAGCUGGUUCUCCCCGAAAGCUAUUUAGGUAGCGCCUCGUGAAUUCAUCUCCGGGGGUAGAGCACUGUUUCGGCUAGGGGGCCAUCCCGGCUUACCAACCCGAUGCAAACUGCGAAUACCGGAGAAUGUUAUCACGGGAGACACACGGCGGGUGCUAACGUCCGUCGUGAAGAGGGAAACAACCCAGACCGCCAGCUAAGGUCCCAAAGUCAUGGUUAAGUGGGAAACGAUGUGGGAAGGCCCAGACAGCCAGGAUGUUGGCUUAGAAGCAGCCAUCAUUUAAAGAAAGCGUAAUAGCUCACUGGUCGAGUCGGCCUGCGCGGAAGAUGUAACGGGGCUAAACCAUGCACCGAAGCUGCGGCAGCGACGCUGAUGCGUUGUUGGGUAGGGGAGCGUUCUGUAAGCCUGCGAAGGUGACCUGUGAGGGUUGCUGGAGGUAUCAGAAGUGCGAAUGCUGACAUAAGUAACGAUAAAGCGGGUGAAAAGCCCGCUCGCCGGAAGACCAAGGGUUCCUGUCCAACGUUAAUCGGGGCAGGGUGAGUCGACCCCUAAGGCGAGGCCGAAAGGCGUAGUCGAUGGGAAACGGGUUAAUAUUCCCGUACUUGGUGUUACUGCGAAGGGGGGACGGAGAAGGCUAUGUUGGCCGGGCGACGGUUGUCCCGGUUUAAGCGUGUAGGUGUGUGUUCCAGGUAAAUCCGGUUCACUUUAACACUGAGGCGUGAUGACGAGGCACUACGGUGCUGAAGCAACAAAUGCCCUGCUUCCAGGAAAAGCCUCUAAGCAUCAGGUAACAUCAAAUCGUACCCCAAACCGACACAGGUGGUCAGGUAGAGAAUACCAAGGCGCUUGAGAGAACUCGGGUGAAGGAACUAGGCAAAAUGGUGCCGUAACUUCGGGAGAAGGCACGCUGACACGUAGGUGAAGUGAUUUACUCACGGAGCUGAAGUCAGUCGAAGAUACCAGCUGGCUGCAACUGUUUAUUAAAAACACAGCACUGUGCAAACACGAAAGUGGACGUAUACGGUGUGACGCCUGCCCGGUGCCGGAAGGUUAAUUGAUGGGGUCAGCGCAAGCGAAGCUCCUGAUCGAAGCCCCGGUAAACGGCGGCCGUAACUAUAACGGUCCUAAGGUAGCGAAAUUCCUUGUCGGGUAAGUUCCGACCUGCACGAAUGGCGUAAUGAUGGCCAGGCUGUCUCCACCCGAGACUCAGUGAAAUUGAACUCGCUGUGAAGAUGCAGUGUACCCGCGGCAAGACGGAAAGACCCCGUGAACCUUUACUAUAGCUUGACACUGAACAUUGAGCCUUGAUGUGUAGGAUAGGUGGGAGGCUUUGAAGUGUGGACGCCAGUCUGCAUGGAGCCGACCUUGAAAUACCACCCUUUAAUGUUUGAUGUUCUAACGUGGACCCGUAAUCCGGGUUGCGGACAGUGUCUGGUGGGUAGUUUGACUGGGGCGGUCUCCUCCUAAAGAGUAACGGAGGAGCACGAAGGUUGGCUAAUCCUGGUCGGACAUCAGGAGGUUAGUGCAAUGGCAUAAGCCAGCUUGACUGCGAGCGUGACGGCGCGAGCAGGUGCGAAAGCAGGUCAUAGUGAUCCGGUGGUUCUGAAUGGAAGGGCCAUCGCUCAACGGAUAAAAGGUACUCCGGGGAUAACAGGCUGAUACCGCCCAAGAGUUCAUAUCGACGGCGGUGUUUGGCACCUCGAUGUCGGCUCAUCACAUCCUGGGGCUGAAGUAGGUCCCAAGGGUAUGGCUGUUCGCCAUUUAAAGUGGUACGCGAGCUGGGUUUAGAACGUCGUGAGACAGUUCGGUCCCUAUCUGCCGUGGGCGCUGGAGAACUGAGGGGGGCUGCUCCUAGUACGAGAGGACCGGAGUGGACGCAUCACUGGUGUUCGGGUUGUCAUGCCAAUGGCACUGCCCGGUAGCUAAAUGCGGAAGAGAUAAGUGCUGAAAGCAUCUAAGCACGAAACUUGCCCCGAGAUGAGUUCUCCCUGAGACUUAGAGUCUCCUGAAGGAACGUUGAAGACGACGACGUUGAUAGGCCGGGUGUGUAAGCGCAGCGAUGCGUUGAGCUAACCGGUACUAAUGAACCGUGAGGCUUAACCUU